rnacentral:rRNA from 1 species
UACGUAGGGGGCAAGCGUUAUCCGGAUUUACUGGGUGUAAAGGGAGCGUAGACGGCCAGACAAGUCAGAAGUGAAAGCCCAGGGCUCAACCCUGGGACUGCUUUUGAAACUGCCGGGCUGGAGUGCAGGAGAGGUAAGCGGAAUUCCUAGUGUAGCGGUGAAAUGCGUAGAUAUUAGGAGGAACACCAGUGGCGAAGGCGACUUUCUGGACUGUACCUGACGCUGAGGCGCGAAAGCGUGGGUAGCGAACGGG